CUCGUCCAUGUGCUCCAUCACACCUUUACUGUAACUCUUUUUGGGGUAUCAAACAAAACACUGUUCAUCCUUUGCUGCUGUUUCUUCUUUAUGUGGCCUCUUCAGGAGCCUUAUGGAGAGUUGGGACAAGGAGAUUUGAAAGACCCAGUCACCCAUCUGCCAGGAUCAUUUCAGUGAAAUCCUUCCUGACAGCAGAGGCUUGCCUAGAUCGCCCUUUAUAAGAUUUUUCUGUGGACUCAAGACUGUUACUGAACUCACAGUGCUCUAAUAUUGAUACUUAUGCAAAGAGGACCAGGAGGAUGCAAGCACCCUGUUGAUCCUG
rnacentral:lncRNA from 1 species